GACGAACGCUGGCGGCGUGCUUAACACAUGCAAGUCGAACGAAGAGCGAUGGAAGCUUGCUUCUAUCACUCUUAGUGGCGAACGGGUGAGUAACGCGUAAUCAACCUGCCCUUCAGAGGGGGACAACAGUUGGAAACGACUGCUAAUACCGCAUACGAUCUAAUCUCGGCAUCGAGGAUAGAUGAAAGGUGGCCUCUACAUGUAAGCUAUCACUGAAGGAGGGGAUUGCGUCUGAUUAGCUAGUUGGAGGGGUAACGGCCCACCAAGGCGAUGAUCAGUAGCCGGUCGGAGAGGAUGAACGGCCACAUUGGGACUGAGACACGGCCCAGACGCCUACGGGAGGCAGCAGUGGGGAAUCUUCCGCAAUGGACGAAAGUCUGACGGAGCAACGCCGCGGGAGCGAUGACGGCCUUCGGGUUGUAAAGCUCUGUUAAUCGGGACGAAAGGCCUUCUUGCGAAUAGUGAGAAGGAUUGACGGUACCGGAAUAGAAAGCCACGGCUAACUACGUG
rnacentral:rRNA from 1 species